UACGUAGGGCGCAAGCGUUGUCCGGAAUUAUUGGGCGUAAAGAGCUCGUAGGCGGCUUGUCACGUCGGAUGUGAAAGCCCUCGGCUCAACCGAGGAAUUGCCUUGGAUACUGCGAAGCUCGAGGCUGGAAGAGGACAGUGGAAUUCCCGGUGUAGCGGUGAAAUGCGUAGAGAUCCGGAAGAACACCAGAGGCGAAGGCGGCCUGCUGGGCCUUGUCUGACGCUGAGGCGCGAAAGCGUGGGGGAGCAAACAGG
rnacentral:rRNA from 1 species